AGAGUUAAAGAUGAGUGUGAAUCUAUAUGCAAUAGAAAAAGCUUAAAUAAAAUUCUUUAUUUGCUCUCUCGUACAUAGCUAAGGAGAUGGGUCUAAUAAUUAACCGAAAGGGGUAGUAAUGUCUCAGACUCGAAAAAAGAAGCGAUUCAUCGCGUACCUUUUGCAUCAUGGUGAAAGGAGAAAAAGCAACUAUUGAGUCUUUCCCGAAGGGAAGGGAUCUAUCUCUGUUAAAGGUUCAUGUUGUAAAAUGAUCUAGAAAGGAGGGAUAGAAGUGAAAAAUUAUUUCGGCCUUCCCGAUAUCUGGUUCCUCCACUUGUCUGAUUUAAUCAGGAUUGCCACCAGCUUCGUUAGUUGAGGCGAGUUUAGUCUUUCAGGGAUAAGCUUGGGAGAUACAGUGAUUAGAGAGAGUCCAAUUGGAUUGAUAAGGGAUGAAUGAGAAUUACUCACAUUGUGUAGAGAAAAACUUGGAUAGUAACAGUGGAUUUAUUACUAAAAAUUCACUCUCGCUGAGGGAGGGGUCUAGGUUUGAAUUUCAAAAACUGAAUCAUAAUCUUUCAAUUAGUAUGGAAUAGCCUAUCCCUUUAGAAGGAACUCGGCAAAUUUUAGUUCUGCCUGUUUAAUAAAAACAUGUCCUGGUGGAUAGAAUACCAGGUCGGACCUGCUCACUGCAAAAGUAAAUAGCUGCAGUAUCCUGACUGUGCUAAGGUAGCAUAAUAAUUUGUCUCUUAAUUGGAGACUAGAAUGAACGGUUUAACAAGAACUAAGCUGUCUCUUAAAGGAAACCUGAAAUUUAAGUGGGAGUGAAAAUUCUCUCCUAGGUGAGAGGGACGAAGAGACCCUAUAGAUCUUCAUUGACCCAGAAAGACUAUGGAUAUUAUUCCUUUGGAGGGUCAAUUUAUAUGGGACGUAACUAGAAUUAGAAACUUCAGAGACCAGAAAAACUGAUUCGUUGAAUUGAAACUUCUCAAUUAACUAAUAUAUGAUAGAUUUAGAGAAAUUGAGUAGUAAACAAAAGUUACCUUAGGGAUAACAGCGUUAUUCUGAUUCCCCAGACCUUAUGGGUAUUCAGGGUUACGACCUCGAUGUUGAAUUAGGUUGAAAUUUAAACGUAGAAGUUUAAAGGCUUUAGUCUGUUCGACUAUUAAAAACCUACAUGAUUUGAGUUUAGACCGACGUGAGUCAGGUCAGAUUCUAUCUUCUCAGAAGAAUCUUGCCCCAAAGUACGAAAGGACCGGGGUGAGGCGAUUCACAGUCGCAUAAAUAUACAAUAAUACUUCUU
rnacentral:rRNA from 1 species